rnacentral:rRNA from 1 species
CCUACGGGAGGCAGCAGUAGGGAAUAUUGCUCAAUGGAGGAAAGCCUGAAGCAGCAACGCCGCGUGGAGGAUGAAGGCUUUAGGAUUGGAAAAUCGUUUUGUUAGAGAGGAUUAUGACGGUAUCUAAAGAAUAAGCACAGGAUAACUCCGUGACAGAAGCCGCAGGAAUACGGCGGGUGCCAGCGUUACUCGGAAUCAUUGGGCGUAAAGAGUGCGUAGGCGGGGUAAUAAGUCAGUUGUGAAAUCCUGAAGCUUAACUUCAGAACUGCAUUUGAAACUGUUGAUCUGGAGUGUGGGAGAGGUAGGUGGAAUGCAUGGUGUAGGGGUGAAAUGCUUAGAGAUCAAGAGGAAUACUGAUUGCGAAGGCGACCUACUAGAACAUUACUGACGCUGAGGCACGAAAGCGUGGGGAGCAAACAGGAUUAGAUACCCCUGUAGUC